rnacentral:rRNA from 1 species
AACGAACGCUGGCGGCAGGCUUAACACAUGCAAGUCGAACGCCCCCUACGGGGAGUGGCAGACGGGUGAGUAACGCGUGGGAAUCUACCCAUCUCUACGGAAUAACUCAGGGAAACUUGUGCUAAUACCGUAUACGCCAUUCGGGGGAAAGAUUUAUCGGAGAUGGAUGAGCCCGCGUUGGAUUAGCUAGUUGGUGGGGUAAAGGCCUACCAAGGCGACGAUCCAUAGCUGGUCUGAGAGGAUGAUCAGCCACAUUGGGACUGAGACACGGCCCAAACUCCUGCGGGGGGCAGCAGUGGGGAAUAUUGGCCAUUGGGCGCAAGCCUGAGCCAGCCAUGCCGCGUGAGUGAUGAAGGCCCUAGGGUUGUAAUGCUCUUUCGCCGAUUAAGAUAAUGACUGUAUUCGGAUAAGAAGCCCCGGCUAACUGCUUGCCAGCCGCCGCAGUAAUAC